UGUGUUCAGGGUCAGCCAGAAACGUUCUCCUGCGUUAUUUCCACCAAACGUCAGCCUGAUUAGGUCUCUGUACAGCAGCCUGUCUGCAGGACGGCUUCACGGAUGAGGAGCUACAGUGAGCGAGGCUGCGAAGACGAGGAGCGUAGUAAGAGACGGGAGCUGCGGGCACGACGUGCAGAAAUCGGAGAAAAGGGCUCGUCCAGGCGGAUAUGCUGGAAGCCGCAGGAGCAGACACACGUCCGACACACGCCCACGUUGCCAGGUAAGCCCCCUGUGCGCAGGAACACGCGCUCACUCCCCUCGCCCAUGCGGAAACGAGCGGGAGCACAGGCGGAAGAAUCCAAACGCAUCAGCGCUCCAGCGACGCUCACGGCGUCCCGCUGCGCCCAAUCGCGGGUUUUUAAUGGUCAUGGCGAAAAAAUUAUUAAAAAAAAACAAAAAAAAAAAAA